AGAUUAAGUUAUUAAGGGCGCACGGUGGAUGCCUUGGCACUAGAAGCCGAUGAAGGACGUUACUAACGACGAUAUGCUUUGGGUAGCUGUAAGUAAGCGUUGAUCCAGAGAUUUCCGAAUGGGGGAACCCAGCAUGAGUUAUGUCAUGUUAUCGACAUGUGAAUUUAUAGCAUGUCAGAAGGCAGACCCGGAGAACUGAAACAUCUUAGUACCCGGAGGAAGAGAAAGAAAAAUCGAUUCCCUGAGUAGCGGCGAGCGAAACGGGAAGAGCCCAAACCAACAAGCUUGCUUGUUGGGGUUGUAGGACACUCUAUACGGAGUUACAAAA
rnacentral:rRNA from 1 species